rnacentral:ncRNA from 1 species
GUUGUGCUCGAGGGUAUGUACACAAAUUUUUGCCGGAAGGUGAGCUCAAUGAGAACAGAAAUCUCAUGUAGAACAAAAGGGUAAAAGCUCACUUGAUUUUGAUUUUCAGUAUGAAUACAAACCGUGAAAGCGUGGCCUAUCGAUCCUUUAGUUCUUUAGAAUUUUAAGCUAGAGGUGUCAGAAAAGUUACCAC